rnacentral:rRNA from 1 species
AUACGGAGGGUGCAAGCGUUAUCCGGAUUUAUUGGGUUUAAAGGGUGCGCAGGCGGACCUGUCAGUCAGUGGUGAAAUCCCGGGGCUCAACCCCGGAACUGCCAUUGAUACUACAGGUCUUGAAUACGGUUGAAGUAGGCGGAAUGUAGCAUGUAGCGGUGAAAUGCAUAGAUAUGCUACAGAACACUGAUCGCGAAGGCAGCUUACUAAGCCGAUAUUGACGCUCAGGCACGAAAGCGUGGGGAGCGAACAGGAUUAGAAACCCUAGUAGUCC